UUAAAAUGUAAUUAAUUUACUUGAGUAGUAAUAGUUAUGUUCUUGAAACUUAAAAAAUUUGGCGGUAUUUUAGUCUAUUCAGAGGAACCUGUUCUAUAAUCGAUAAUCCACGAUGGACCUUACUUAAUUUUGUUUUUCAGUUUAUAUACCGCCGUUAUUAGAAUAUUUUAUAAGAAUUAAUAAUUUUCAAUAAUUUUGAUAAAAAUUAAUGUCAGGUCAAGGUGUAGCUUAUAAUUAAGACAGUAAUGGGUUACAAUAAAUUUAUUUAUGUGAAUAUAGUGUUGAAAUAAUAUUAUUGAAGAUGGAUUUGAUAGUAAAAUUUUAUAGAUUGUAAGUUUGAUUUUAGCUCUAAA
rnacentral:rRNA from 1 species